AGAGUUUGAUCCUGGCUCAGGAUGAACGCUGGCGGCGUGCCUAAUACAUGCAAGUCGAACGCGCAGCGAAAGGUGCUUGCACCUUUCAAGCGAGUGGCGAACGGGUGAGUAACACGUGGAUAACCUGCCUCAAGGCUGGGGAUAACAUUUGGAAACAGAUGCUAAUACCGAAUAAAACUUAGUAUCGCAUGAUACAAAGUUGAAAGGCGCUACGGCGUCACCUAGAGAUGGGUCCGCGGUGCAUUAGUUAGUUGGUGGGGUAAAGGCCUACCAAGACAAUGAUGCAUAGCCGAGUUGAGAGACUGAUCGGCCACAUUGGGACUGAGACGCGGCCCAAACUCCUACGGGAGGCUGCAGUAGGGAAUCUUCCACAAUGGGCGAAAGCCUGAUGGAGCAACGCCGCGUGUGUGAUGAAGGCUUUAGGGUCGUAAAGCACUGUUGUAUGGGAAGAAAUGCUAGAAUAGGGAAUGAUUCUAGUUCGACGGUACCAUACCAGAAAGGGACGGCUAAAUACGUGCCAGCAGCCGCGGUAAUACGUAUGUCCCGAGCGUUAUCCGGAUUUAUUGGGCGUAAAGCGAGCGCAGACGGUUGAUUAAGUCUGAUGUGAAAGCCCGGAGCUCAACUCCGGAAUGGCAUUGGAAACUGGUUAACUUGAGUGUUGUAGAGGUAAGUGGAACUCCAUGUGUAGCGGUGGAAUGCGUAGAUAUAUGGAAGAACACCAGUGGCGAAGGCGGCUUACUGGACAACAACUGACGUUG
rnacentral:rRNA from 1 species